AAAUAUAUAACCUCAAGCUCUCCAUAUUUCACUCAUACAUACGAAGCGCUAGACUUUUGCACAACGUGAUGGGAUCUCCAGAAAGUUUCCGCAUUUUAAUGCAAAAGAGGAAAAAUUCCAAAGAGAUCUCAAUUUCUACUCUCUGCCUCGUUAUUGUUUUAUGUGUAGUUUCCGUUAUCUCGGUGAACUUUUACAUGCACCAGACAACGUUCAUGAAAGUGGAGGAGGCGAUGAAAGUACUGGCAAACCUUGCAAACAAUGAGAAGGUGUACAGAGAUCUUUUAAUCAAGUGUUCAUUGAAAAAUCCUGAUAGCCAUGUGGACGAAGAAGAUGGUGACGAGGGAUCAGGUUUUAUUUUUUAAUUCUUUUUACGAGAUAACCCCAUCCUCAUUGGUAAUUUUAAAUUAGUUUUGUACCUUUUGAGAUGAAUAAAUAAAUACGAAUAUUCUGUGUG